CUUGGUCAUUUAGAGGAAGUAACAGUCGUAACAAGGUUUCCGUAGGUGAGCCUGCGGAAGGAUCAUUAACAAAUCGUGCCUAGCACAUAAGCCCUGCCGCAAGGCUGGACAUUUACGCGUGUUUGUGUGACUGUUGUGUAACCUAAUUAAUAAAACUUUUAACAAUGGAUCUCUUGGCUCUUGCAACGAUGAAGAACGCAGUGAAAUGCGAAAAUUAAUGCGAUCUGCAUGAAUCUGUGAGUCAUCUAGUCUUUGAACGCACCUUGCACCUAGUGCGUAAGCCCUAGGUAUGCCUGUUUGAGAAUCGCAAACAUCCUCAACCUUGGUCUAGGUUGGACUUGGCCUCCCGUCGCGGGGGCUGGAAUGCAGUCGCUAGCGGUGCUUGACAUUGUGUGCCAGAGCGUCACAAUGCGGCUGUCCAACGCUAGCGUCCCACCUCUCUUUUAUUGAUCUCAAAACAGGCAAGGCUACCCGCUGAACUUAAGCAUAUCAAUAAGCGGAGGA
rnacentral:rRNA from 1 species